AAAAAAUAAAGAAACUGGCAGCCCAUCAAAUCGAAAAUUGGAAAUACAGUAAAAGAGUUCACUCCCAAACGUUUGUGCUAAAGGCUAUAAAGGACAACAUGUAAUAUACCGCUUCUGGUGAAUGUUUUGGUUCUAGUCUGCUGACCGUACCGCCUGAAAACGUGUCAGGAAACCCAUCAUUCGCGACAUCUGUCUGACAUCGGAGAAAGGACAUGAAAGGUUUUCCCGUGACGGAUUGGCAAGUUAGUUUGGCGCACCAUCAUCAGUCGAGAGGAAGAAACACUCGAACUCCAAAAAAGGUCCACAAUACUACGAGAUGGAAGAUGGGUGCUAUUUCUGCUCACUUCAGAAUGUGCGAUAAGAUCAACAACGCCAUCCUGGAUGCACAUCUGCAGCAAGUUCCAAACCACAAAGUUUCAUGUGAAACCAUCUCAUAAUGCGGAUAAAUAUCUUUCGAGAGACCGUAAAGCAUAUCGGCUCACAACCCCUGAGUAUUCAAAUACAAAACAUGUAAUAAUGUGUGCUGGCUUACAAUAAAAGUUAAAUAAAAAAGGGAAACAAAAUAAUAAAUUAUAAAUCUGUAG